AAGAAACUUGCUCACAUUAAAGUUAAAAGGAGGUUAUCCUAAGGAUACAAGGAUGUUUACAAGGAAUCCUGGGAAGACUGAACAAUUGAGCUGCAGAGACAGUGGAAACUGAGGAUUUUAGCUUUGCCAUCCGCGGACGGCUUGAGUGUUAACCAGCUCGGUGGACCGUUUGCCUUUCUGCGAGGGCAGCGGGUUCCUCUAGAAUAAAGAAUGAAGAAAAUUGAAAUGAUCUCUGAAACUCGAGAAUAGUUAUGUAAAAGAGAAAAAACAAAGUCUAUCGUUCAAAGGCUACUGAACCAGGAAACAGGCAGCCCGCGUUAAAAUCCCAGCUCUGGGAUCAACUGGUUAGAUUAUUUUCAUUCAGGCAUCUUUUCUUUCUGCACUACUUCAUCUACCAGUUGCUAACAUUGAAUGAACCUUUACAGUGUUCCAGGUACUGUUUUAAGGGAUUUUCUAUACUCAUAUAACAUUUUUGAAAGAAAAAGUGAAAUAUAGGGCUACAUGUUCAGCCUCAACGUGAACGUGAUGAGGAUGAAGACCUUUAUGAUAAUCCACUUUCACUUAGUGAAUCGGGAUUGGACUGCUGCAUUCUAAAAAUAAUGGUGAGAAGAAUGAAUAAAUUAGAGUUUACUAUGUAAUAAAACCUUCUAAAAAAGAGGAGAGGUAGCAGAAUUUACAAGAAGGUUAAACCUGACCUUACUGAAGAGAAUGAUACCCUCAUAGCAGCGCAUCUUCUUUGCUCACAGAAAGGGUUGGUUGUCUUAUGUGUCUAGCCUUACGGAUAUUUGGUUACAAGGAAUGGGAAACAACUCAAGUCAAAUUAAACAAAAAUAGAAGGCAUCAAAUGCAAGUCCUUGGACAAAUGUGUUUUGAGUUUCAAGUGAGCAAACCUUCAAUGUGUCUGCCAUUUUGGGGAAGAAGUUGUAACUUGGAGUGAAGGUAGAGGGAUUUAUUAUGAGAGCUUUGCUAGCAGACAUCUCAUUCUUUAAGACAAAAUCAACGCACAAACAUAAUUGGUCAAAGGAAGAAAGCUACAAAACCAAUUCAAUAACAUCUGAAGCCUGAGAGGAAAAUGAAAGACAAGAGGCUGUGGCUGCAGCUGUGUCUGCUGACAACAGGAUAAAAAUGGUUGCAUUGAGAGUGAGCUGCAUUUUCACCAGGCAGAGCAAACUGGGAGCUAAUGUGUUUCUUGGAAAUCAAAAGAGGACUCCAAGAAUAGAAGCUUUUAAGAGGACUGGCUGGAGAGUCAAAGAAGAUCCAUUAGCUUCUGGACCACUGAAAACCUAAGGGCUGAUGGUGGGGCAGGGUAAGUGGCCGGCAGCAGGGAGACAUUUUCUGUAUCUAGGAUGGUAUAGAAAAGACCCCCACUGGACAGAUCUACAAAGAACAACUAAAGAGUCUCAUGGUAGAACAGGUCAGCUCUGGACAUCAUUCAAAUCCAGGGGAGCCUCUUAUACUGGAUUGCAAUUGUGUUGGGCAUGUACAAUGGUGUUCUUUUUCUCUAAUGGCUUCUUUCUUCUGGUCAGUCUCUGGAAGGGGUGAAAGAGUGAGAAAUAGUAGCCAGCAAGUGUAGAAAGAGAUGUGGAAGAGAGAACGGGGAAACAGAAAUUGCAUUUCUCCCACGUUCCAAAUGUAGGUUAUCCGGGUUAAAUGUAGGCCCCACCUGACUAGGCAAAGAUUUUUUCCUUUGUUGUGAGUUUGAAAAGAACUAAACAUCAUACUGAAGUGGAAUUAUUGAAAUUGGAUAGACCCAGGUUCAAAUGUUGACUCAGUUAUGUAACAUCUUGUGAAUUUUGACAGGUUCCUUAACUCCACUGAGUCUGUUUUUAUACCCAUGAAAUGGAUGUAGGAUUGUUAUGAACAUUAAUUGAAAAAUUAUAUAUAAAAUAAGUGUCCAGCAUAGUUCCUGGCACAUACUAGUGCUUGAAAACUACCAAUCAACUUCAUCAAUUUGUGUUAUGCCCUGCAUGGGCACAUAUUUGUCCUGAUACUCUUCAAAAUGUAGAAGUACCCACAGAAAAAUUGUCUCAGUUCAAGCACAGUAUUAUUAAUAUUCUACUGAGUACUAAGUAUGGUCGUUAAUAGUCUAAUAUGAGGAAGUCAAAACAGUCUCUGGAAAAAGUCUUUCUGCAAGCUUUUUGAAGCUUCAGGGAUUGCUACAAAGACUGGAAAAUCGAUCUUGAACUCAGCCUUUUAAUUUCUUUUCAUGAUUACUGUUCUCAAAUGGAGAAUGCAAUUAAAAUUAAUGCUGUCUUAGUUCACUUGCCUCAAAAUAAACAUUGAUCAAAUUCUAUGUGAAG
rnacentral:lncRNA from 1 species